rnacentral:rRNA from 1 species
AUUGAACGCUGGCGGCAUGCCUUACACAUGCAAGUCGAACGGUAACAGGUUAAGCUGACGAGUGGCGAACGGGUGAGUAAUACAUCGGAACGUGCCCAGUAGUGGGGGAUAGCCCGGCGAAAGCCGGAUUAAUACCGCAUACGACCUAAGGGUGAAAGGGGGGGAUCGCAAGACCUCUCGCUAUUGGAGCGGCCGAUGUCAGAUUAGCUAGUUGGUGGGGUAAAAGCUCACCAAGGCGACGAUCUGUAGCUGGUCUGAGAGGACGACCAGCCACACUGGGACUGAGACACGGCCCAGACUCCUACGGGAGGCAGCAGCGGGGAAUUUUGGACAAUGGGCGCAAGCCUGAUCCAGCCAUGCCGCGUGCGGGAAGAAGGCCUUCGGGUUGUAAACCGCUUUUGUCAGGGAAGAAAUCCUUUGGGUUAAUACCUCGGGGGGAUGACGGUACCUGAAGAAUAAGCACCGGCUAACUACGUG